rnacentral:lncRNA from 1 species
GAUGCAACAUAAAGGGAUAAUAUACCAUAACCUGGUAGAAAAUAAAAAUUACAAAUUAACAAAAUCGAAGUUGAAUUUUGAUCUUGUCAUCAAACCUAUUGUUGCUUGAUCACACAGAUCACAGAAUUUCUAAUUUGCAAGACUUGUUAUGAAGUCAAAUGUUAUUAAAUAAACUUUUUUACAGGUUCAGAAUUAUAAACAGUGAUAAAAUACCGUACUGGCUCAUGAUCUUAGGUAAUAACCUAGUAGAAUAUAAAAUUUGAAGAUAAACAAAUCAGAGUUGAGUUUUGAUCUUUUGUAAAAUCAAACCUGUUGUUGCUUGAUCAUAUAAUUCAAAAACAACCUUCAGAUCACAUAGAAUUUUUAACUUGCAAGCCUUGCUAUGAAGCCAAAUGCUAUCAAUAAACCCUUAUACAUUCUAAUACAAACAAACACCAUUUCAAAACUGAUUCAAACUUCCAAAGGUCCUCCGUAUAUCUGAGUAUCUGACCACAAGUACAAGCAUUCAACACUAGACAAAUUGCACACAGAAAUAAUAAUAGCGACUUAAUAACAAAGCAUAUCCUCAACGAUCUACACACGCGUCAUGUACGGCAAUAAACGGAGUUUAAUAAACGAAACUUACCGAAUGCAAUUGUGGCAGCGGUGGCAGAUAGACGGAAGAGGCGAACGGGAACAGUGGUACAAAGCUUGAGAGCAGUGGCAGGAUCGUCGGAUUUAGCAACGGUAGCGGCACCAGCACCGGCGCCCAAAGCUAGGGCACCAAAUGCGAGCUUCGAUUUAGCGCCCCAAAUAGAUCGGGCGACCACCAUAUUUGUUGGUUACCAGAAGAGUGUUUUUCGGCAACAAGGGGAAAAACAAAUGUGGCGAUGGCGGUAAUCUCCACGUAA